UUCGCAAUCAUUCUUCCUUUGUAACUUGUAGUCAUUAAACGUGUUAUUGGUCGGUGUAUGAUAAUUUGUACGGUAAUUAAAGCAAGUUUUGUGCCAAACGAUGUCAGAAUCCAGUAUACGAGCUGAUUAGUGUAAAUAGUGAAUUUAAAAAAUUUUUUUGGAGAAACGUAAGAGUUUCUCUGGAAACGAUCCCGAUUAUUGUAUCCAUGGAAAACCAUUAUACAUCACAGUCGAUCACGAGUUUUAGUGUGGAUUGUCCGAAAGAAGGAACAGGAAUUAAGAAUAAAUCUACUAGGAGGCAACACACUUAAGAGGCCCGGUUGCCGCACACUAUGACGACCCACACAUAGAAGUAAAGCCAUGUAGGACAUUAACAUGCAAGUCAAUAGGACUCAGAGAUAUACUCCAAUUGAUUAUUAAAUUUGACCAUCAAGUCUGUGUGCCUGUUCAAUAAACAGUGAUUAGUGGAUGGUCAGUCUUUAUCUACUUAUGGUAAGUUCGGAUUUGUAAGAUGGAAGCACAGAUUUAGGAUCCGUGCAGACAUUGCAUGCAAUGAUACUCUAAAUGAUGCCUUUUAAUACUCUCUUGUUUGUUUAAAAAUCUAAUGUUUAAAGAAAAAUAGCUAACAGAACUCGGAAUACGAAAAUCUUUUUCGGCAAAUAUUUCGAAAAAUGAUUUCAUGAAAUUAUCUUCGUUGCACAUACAGUGCAACGAAGUUUCGAAAGCUCCAGAUUUAAACGAGUCGUUUGAAUAUACGCGUUGUUUGAAUUUUUGUCUUCGAAAUCAUAAAACGUGUGGCAUAAUACGAACGAGUUAUACGGAAUACUCGAUUCUCACUAAGAAGCAUAGAUUUCUGAAAUAUCGUCUGCAACACAGAAAUCGACAGACAGGAACUAAAUACUAAAAUCUAUUCUCAGAUGUCAAGACGUGUAUUAGUUAGCCACCUU